rnacentral:rRNA from 1 species
UGGGGAAUCUUGGACAAUGGACGAAAGUCUGAUCCAGCCAUGCCGCGUGAGUGAUGAAGGCCUUCGGGUUGUAAAGCUCUUUUAGUAGGGAAGAUAAUGACGGUACCUACAGAAAAAGCCCCGGCUAAUUUCGUGCCAGCAGCCGCGGUAAUACGAAAGGGGCUAGCGUUGCUCGGAAUCAUUGGGCGUAAAGCGCGCGCAGGUGGUUGUGUAAGUUGGAAGUGAAAGCCCGGGGCUUAACCUCGGAAUUGCUUCCAAAACUGCAUAGCUAGAGAAUGGUAGAGGAUAGUGGAAUUCCCGGUGUAGAGGUGAAAUUCGUAGAUAUCGGGAGGAACACCAGUGGCGAAGGCGGCUAUCUGGGCCAUUUCUGACACUGAGGCGCGAAAGCGUGGGGAGCAAA